AAUGAACGUUGGCGGCGUGGAUUAGGCAUGCAAGUCGAACGGUAACAGGCCUUCGGGCGCUGACGAGUGGCGAACGGGUGAGUAAUGCAUCGGAACGUGCCCAGUCGUGGGGGAUAACGCAGCGAAAGCUGUGCUAAUACCGCAUACGACCUAUGGAUGAAAGCGGGGGACCGUAAGGCCUCGCGCGAUUGGAGCGGCCGAUGUCAGAUUAGGUAGUUUGUGGGGUAAAGGCUCACCAAGCCAACGAUCUGUAGCUGGUCUGAGAGGACGACCAGCCACACUGGGACUGAGACACGGUCCAGACUCCUACGGGAGGCAGCAGUGGGGAAUUUUGGACAAUGGGCGCAAGCCUGAUCCAGCAAUGCCGCGUGCAGGAAGAAGGCCUUCGGGUUGUAAACUGCUUUUGUACGGAACGAAACGGCGAGCUCUAAUACAGUUUGCUAAUGACGGUACCGUAAGAAUAAGCACCGGCUAACUACGUGCCAGCAGCCGCCGUAACAC
rnacentral:rRNA from 1 species